GAGGGGCGGUUCAACCAGCAGGAACUGCUAAUUCCUGCAUCUGAGCAUAAAAUCUCAGCCCCCUUA
rnacentral:tRNA from 1 species